UACAGAGGGUGCGAGCGUUAAUCGGAAUUACUGGGCGUAAAGCGCGCGUAGGCGGCUUUGCAAGCCGGAUGUGAAAUCCCCGGGCUUAACCUGGGAACUGCAUUCGGGACUGCAUGGCUAGAGUAUGGGAGAGGGAAGUGGAAUUUCAGGUGUAGCGGUGAAAUGCGUAGAUAUCUGAAGGAACAUCAGUGGCGAAAGCGACUUCCUGGACCAAUACUGACGCUCAUGUGCGAAAGCGUAGGGAGCAAACAGG
rnacentral:rRNA from 1 species